rnacentral:sRNA from 6 species
UUGCUAUCUGCGAUAUGGAAGAUUCGAACCUGCCGCAGGUUCGGGUCUCACGUAGUGAGACAACGGAGCCGUUUACGGCGACGGCCCGAAGGGCGAGCGAAGCGAGUCAUCCUGCACGACCCACCA